CAGGUCAGCCCUCUGCGUUUGAAGCGACAAAUCGGCCGUCAGCGCGCAUGUCGGAUACCAGGCACCAUAGCGUUCUGUCUUUCUCUCUCUCUCUCUCUGCAGAUGUUCUCUCUACCUAUUCAGCAGGGUGACAGUGGGCUGUGACAGCUUUCCCUAAUGACCCGUGAGUGCCCGCUUCUGUGUGCUGACAUUUUGGGUGGCAGCACAGAUGCCAGGCAUGCAGGGGGGGGGCGUUACUGCCGCUGGCAGAUCUCGCUCCAAAUAAAUUACUGUCAGAGGUGUUGCUCUCUCAUCUUCUCUCUCUUUCUCACUUAUGUACACAAAAUGCAGCAGACUUGCACCAUGUCCUAACCAGGCAUGAUGUGACUGUUCUGACGACAAGCAAUUUGUCUCUCACACUGAAAGUGAAACUGUUAUGUUAUGUGACACAAUAACAGCCUAUCAGAAGA